UACGGAGGGUGCGAGCGUUGUCCGGAAUCACUGGGCGUAAAGGGCGCGUAGGUGGCGCGGGCAGUCAACGGUGAAAGUUCGGGGCUCAACCCUGAAUCGGCCGUCGAUACUCCCGUGCUUGAGCACUGUAGAGGCAGAUGGAAUUCCGGGUGUAGCGGUGGAAUGCGUAGAGAUCCGGAAGAACACCGGUGGCGAAGGCGGUCUGCUGGGCAGUAGCUGACACUGAGGAGCGAAAGCGUGGGGAGCGAACAGG
rnacentral:rRNA from 1 species